AUUGAACGCUGGCGGCAUGCUUUACACAUGCAAGUCGAACGGUAACAGGUUAAGCUGACGAGUGGCGAACGGGUGAGUAAUGCAUCGGAACGUGCCCGGCCGUGGGGGAUAACGCAGCGAAAGCUGCGCUAAUACCGCAUACGAUCUGAGGAUGAAAGCGGGGGACCGUAAGGCCUCGCGCGAUCGGAGCGGCCGAUGUCAGAUUAGGUAGUUGGUGGGGUAAAGGCUCACCAAGCCAACGAUCUGUAGCUGGUCUGAGAGGACGACCAGCCACACUGGGACUGAGACACGGCCCAGACUCCUACGGGAGGCAGCAGUGGGGAAUUUUGGACAAUGGGCGAAAGCCUGAUCCAGCAAUGCCGCGUGCAGGAAGAAGGCCUUCGGGUUGUAAACUGCUUUUGUACGGAGCGAAAAGGCUCUCUCUAAUACAGGGGGCUCAUGACGGUACCGUAAGAAUAAGCACCGGCUAACUACGUGCCAGCCGCCGCAGUAA
rnacentral:rRNA from 1 species